rfam:Myotis brandtii contig166414, whole genome shotgun sequence.
UGCGGUUCUUGGGUGAUACACCCAGAACCAGAGAGAAGGGAGCCUGAUUCUGGGGUGCAUCACCCGAGAAUUGCC